GAAAUGUUGGGUUAAGUCCCGCAACGAGCGCAACCCUUAUCCUUUGUUGCCAGCGGUCCGGCCGGGAACUCAAAGGAGACUGCCAGUGAUAAACUGGAGGAAGGUGGGGAUGACGUCAAGUCAUCAUGGCCCUUACGAGUAGGGCUACACACGUGCUACAAUGGCGCAUACAAAGAGAAGCGAACUCGCGAGAGCAAGCGGACCUCAUAAAGUGCGUCGUAGUCCGGAUUGGAGUCUGCAACUCGACUCCAUGAAGUCGGAAUCGCUAGUAAUCGUAGAUCAGAAUGCUACGGUGAAUA
rnacentral:rRNA from 1 species